rnacentral:rRNA from 1 species
GAAGCGGCAACAGCUCAAAUUUGAAAUCUGGCUCCUUUGGCGCCCGAGUUGUAAUUUGUAGAGGAUGCUUCGGGUGAAGCCGCGGUCCAAGUCCCUUGGAACAGGACGUCAUAGAGGGUGAGAACCCCGUACCUGGCCGCCGGUGCCCCCCGCUGUGAAGCUCCUUCGACGAGUCGAGUUGUUUGGGAAUGCAGCUCUAAAUUGGUGGUAAAUUCCAUCUAAAGCUAAAUACCGGCCAGAGACCGAUAGCGCACAAGUAGAGUGAUCGAAAGAUGAAAAGCACUUUGAAAAGAGAGUUAAAAAGUACGUGAAAUUGUUGAAAGGGAAGCGCUUGCGGCCAGACUUGCCCGCGGUGCUCAGCCCGCCUUUUGGCGGGUGCACUCUCCGCGGUCAGGCCAGCAUCGGUUUGGGCGGUCGGACAAAGGCGCCGGGAACGUAGCCCCCUUCGGGGGGUGUUAUAGCCCGGCGUGCAAUGCGACCAGCCCGGACCGAGGUUCGCGCUCUGGCUAGGAUGCUGGCGUAAUGGCCGUAAGCGGCCCGUCUUGAAACACGGACCAAGGAGUCUAACAUCUAUGCGAGUGUUUGGGUGUCAAACCCGUGCGCGUAAUGAAAGUGAACGGAGGUGGGAACCUUAGGGUGCACCAUCGACCGAUCCUGAUGUCUUCGGAAGGAUUUGAGUAAGAGCAUAGCUGUUGGGACCCGAAAGAUGGUGAACUAUGCGUGAAUAGGGUGAAGCCAGAGGAAACUCUGGUGGA